rnacentral:rRNA from 1 species
AACAAACGCUGGCGGCGUGCCUAAUACAUGCAAGUCGAACGGGGAAAGCUUUCGGGUGAGUACUAGUGGCGCACGGGUGAGUAACGCGUGGAUAAUCUGCCUUAGAGUGGGGGAUAACUAGUCGAAAGAUUAGCUAAUACCGCAUAAGACCACAAGAACUGCGGUUCAAGGGUGAAAAGGUUUUUCGCUCUAAGAUGAGUCCGCGUAAGAUUAGCUAGUUGGUAGGGUAACGGCCUACCAAGGGGACGAUCUUUAACUGGUCUGAGAGGAUGAUCAGUCACACUGGAACUGAGACACGGUCCAGACUCCUACGGGAGGCAGCAGUAGGGAAUAUUGCACAAUGGAGGAAACUCUGAUGCAGCGACGCCGCGUGAGUGAUGAAGGCCUUCGGGUCGUAAAGCUCUGUCGCAGGGGAAUAACACAAAGAAGGUACCCUGUAAGAAAGGAUCGGCUAACUUCGUGCCAGCAGCCGCUGUAACAC